rnacentral:rRNA from 1 species
AGUGAACGCUGGCGGUAGGCCUAACACAUGCAAGUCGAACGGCAGCACAGUAAGAGCUUGCUCUUACGGGUGGCGAGUGGCGGACGGGUGAGGAAUACAUCGGAAUCUACUUUUUCGUGGGGGAUAACGUAGGGAAACUUACGCUAAUACCGCAUACGACCUACGGGUGAAAGCAGGGGAUCUUCGGACCUUGCGCGAUUGAAUGAGCCGAUGUCGGAUUAGCUAGUUGGCGGGGUAAAGGCCCACCAAGGCGACGAUCCGUAGCUGGUCUGAGAGGAUGAGAGGCAACACGUGAAUUGAGACGAGGCCCAGACGCCUACGGGAGGCAGCAGGGUGGAAGUUGGGACAAUGGGCGCAAGCCUGAUCCAGCAAUGCCGCGGGCAGGAAGAAGGCCUUCGGGUUGUAAACUGCUUUUGUACGGAACGAAACGGCUCUGGUUAAUACCCGGGGCUAAUGACGGUACCGUAAGAAUAAGCACCGGCUAACUACGUG